GUAUUAAUUCGCCUGACAUAACCUGAUGGAUUGAUAUUUGUUGUUGGGACAGUAAUUAGAGCCUUAGUUCGAGGAGAAAUGAAAUUCCUAAAAUUCCAGCCUCUUGGAUGGGAAAGUCGUUGUUCACUAUUUGAAAGUAAACAGGAAUAUUUUGGAUUGGAAUACAAACCUCCCCUUGUGUGUGAAUCAUCCCUAAACCAAUACCAUUGUGAGCCAGUAUCAAUUAAGAAUUUGGCUGAGCCCUGACAAAAAUGACUAUGCUCAAGAGGAAGGAUAGGUGGUUGUUCAGCAUUAAUUAUGUCGAAGUUGUAGCAGAUACGAUAGAUCCGGUGCGUGCAAAAAGGGGCUUGGGUUUUUGGUUCACUAUCACCGACGAUCCUACUAUAAUCACGUCGUUGCAUCCUAUUACGUAUUAAGGCAAGCAGAUAAAAUUUAUCAUCGGGUUUGACUAAUGAAUCAGCAAGUCUACAUUGGACCAUGAAAUUGGCGA